AGCCCCAUGGUGUAGUGGCAAGCACGGCGGGCUUUGGACCCGCAAACAUCGGUUCGAAUCCGGUUGGGGCUA
rnacentral:tRNA from 1 species